rnacentral:rRNA from 1 species
AUUGAACGCUGGCGGCAGGCCUAACACAUGCAAGUCGAGCGGAUGAAGGGAGCUUGCUCCUGGAUUCAGCGGCGGACGGGUGAGUAAUGCCUAGGAAUCUGCCUGGUAGUGGGGGAUAACGUCCGGAAACGGGCGCUAAUACCGCAUACGUCCUGAGGGAGAAAGUGGGGGAUCUUCGGACCUCACGCUAUCAGAUGAGCCUAGGUCGGAUUAGCUAGUUGGUGGGGUAAAGGCCUACCAAGGCGACGAUCCGUAACUGGUCUGAGAGGAUGAUCAGUCACACUGGAACUGAGACACGGUCCAGACUCCUACGGGAGGCAGCAGUGGGGAAUAUUGGACAAUGGGCGAAAGCCUGAUCCAGCCAUGCCGCGUGUGUGAAGAAGGUCUUCGGAUCGUAAAGCACUUUAAUUUGGGAGGAAGGGCAGUAAGUUAAUACCUUGCUGUUUUGACGUUACCAACAGAAUAAGCACCGGCUAACUUCGUG